rnacentral:rRNA from 1 species
GAUGAACGCUGGCGGCGUGCUUAACACAUGCAAGUCGAACGAUGAAGCCCAGCUUGCUGGGUGGAUUAGUGGCGAACGGGUGAGUAACACGUGAGUAACCUGCCCUUAACUCUGGGAUAAGCCUGGGAAACUGGGUCUAAUACCGGAUAGGAGCGUCCACCGCAUGGUGGGUGUUGGAAAGAUUUAUCGGUUUUGGAUGGACUCGCGGCCUAUCAGCUUGUUGGUGAGGUAAUGGCUCACCAAGGCGACGACGGGUAGCCGGCCUGAGAGGGUGACCGGCCACACUGGGACUGAGACACGGCCCAGACUCCUACGGGAGGCAGCAGUGGGGAAUAUUGCACAAUGGGCGCAAGCCUGAUGCAGCGACGCCGCGUGAGGGAUGACGGCCUUCGGGUUGUAAACCUCUUUCAGUAGGGAAGAAGCGAAAGUGACGGUAACUGCAGAAGAAGCACCGGCUAACUACGUG